CGUGGGGUCCAAGCGUUAUCCGGAAUUACUGGGCGUAAAGAGUUGCGUAGGUGGCAGAGUAAGCAGGUAGUGAAAUUGUGUGGCUCAACCAUACACCCAUUAUCUGAACUGCUCAGCUAGAGCAUGGAAGAGGUAGCUGGAAUUUCUAGUGUAGGAGUGAAAUCCGUAGAUAUUAGAAGGAACACCGAUGGCGUAGGCAGGCUACUGGUCCAUUGCUGACACUAAGGCACGAAAGCGUGGGGAGCGAACGGGAUUAGAUACCCCGGUAGUCCACGCCGUAAACGAUGGAUGCUAGCUGUUAUCAGUAUCGACCCUGGUAGUAGCGAAGCUAACGCGUUAAGCAUCCCGCCUGUGGAGUACGAGCGCAAGCUUA
rnacentral:rRNA from 1 species